rnacentral:lncRNA from 1 species
AUUUGUCUCCUUAUUCCCUUUAAUUGCUUCUCUGUACAUUCCCUUCGUUGUGAGGGAAUUGAACAAGCAUAUGCACAUGUUGAUCUAUAUGUACUUGUGCACACCUUGCAAAUUCACAGCUUGAGUUGGUCAUAAACGCAAUCUACAAUGCUUAUGCAUUUUCUUGACUUGUCCUUUUGAGUUGGCUUCCCCUCACGCACGAGGGAGCUGCUUGAGAAAACCACAACCCAAGGGAGCAACUAUAGGAGAGUAACAUGGUCGAAACACAUAACAAGGCUACUUGAUAGCUUUGGUGGCUCAAUUUUUUAUUUAUUGAAUUGUGUUAUACAUAGUUAGAGAUGGUUCUCUUAUUAUGGGGUAGUAAAAGUCACAUUCAUUUCUUGGUUCUCACAUCACAUUCAUUGGUUGGA